AAAUUUGAGAUUUAAAAAUAUAGAUUUUAAUUUAAAUUUUAAAUUUUAAAUUAUUAUUUUUAAUUAUUUAAAUUUUAAAUUUAAAUUUAAAUAUAAUAAUUGGGGCAAAAUUAUUAUUUUCUAUUUAUAAUAACCCACUAUUUUUCUUAUAUAUCCCACCUACUCCAACCAAACACUAUUUUAUUUAUAUCUGGACUAAACUCAAUUCUCAAUCAAACACAAAAUUACUCUAACCACACCUUAACCCUGAACUUAACUCUAUUCCCGGAAUAACUAGUUAUUACUUAACCCCGAACCAAACGAAGUCAUAGGGACUUAAAAAAAAUCCUUAUUUAAAGGGAUGGGUCUUGAAUGUUGG
rnacentral:lncRNA from 1 species